CGAGAGGUAGUAUAAUAAUGAUUACAUGACGCUUACAACGUUAUAAUAAGGGCCUAGCCCUUCCUCUUGA
rnacentral:tRNA from 1 species